ACUAAAGAAAAAAAAAAGGGAAAACAAAAAGAGAAAGAAGCAGCAGCAGCACGACUCCUGUUCCUCCAACCUCUCACGCCGAUUGCCGACUGUCUUUCCGUUCAUAUUUCAUCAGAAUCUCUCUCCUCUUUCUCACGGUACCAGUUCAAUGGAGUAGGUACCAGUUCAAUACAGUAUCUCACAUACGUGAUGAAUUAAGCACUUCUUAAAGUACAUGCUCGUGAUAAUAU